rnacentral:rRNA from 1 species
CAGAGGGUGCAAGCGUUAAUCGGAUUUACUGGGCGUAAAGCGUGUGUAGGUGGUUGGGAAAGUCAAUUGUGAAAUCCCCGGGCUUAACUCGGGAACUGCUUUUGAUACUGUCUGACUAGAAUUCGGUAGAGAGAGGCGGAACUCCAGGUGUAGCGGUGAAAUGCGUAGAUAUCUGGAAGAACACCAAUGGCGAAGGCAACCUCCUGGGCCUGAAUUGACACUGAGACACGAAAGCGUGGGGAUCAAACAGGAUUAGAUACCCUGGUAGUCCACGCCGUAAACGAUGACAACUUGACGUCGGUUUGCUCUGCGAAUCGGUGUCGUAGCUAACGCGAUAAGUUGUCCGCCUGGGGAGUACGGCCGCAAGGUUG